UUAAUAAUUAAUAAUAAUAAUAAUUAUUAUUAUUAAUUAGAUAAUCGAUAUUAUUAACUUAUUAUUUAUAAUUAAUUACUAAUAAUAAUUAUUAUUUAUAAUUAAUUAUUAAUAAUUAAUUUAUUAUUUGUUUUUAAAUAAUAUUUUGAUGUUAAUUAAUUACAUAAUAUAAUUUUAAUUUCAAAUUAUAACUCUUAUUCCUCUUGGUCCAAUCUAACCAUCCAAACACUAUUUACCUUAUUCCUAGGAACAACCCAAUUUUCAUCCAAACACAAAAUUGGUCUAGUUCCUGUUUAUACCUGAACUUGUACCUAUCCCUGGAACUAGCAGUUCUUACUUAUACCCGAACCAAACACAGGUAGUUCUUGGCGUUAUCAUAUUAAAUUAUAUAAAAAAAUAAUUUCUCCAAAAUAUUAAACUAAUAUUUAACAAAAUAAGUUAAAAAAU
rnacentral:lncRNA from 1 species